UGCCAGGUUCUGCAGAAACUAUGAAUGGGUCUUCUUGUCCAGAACUGGUCGAUGUGGCUAAAUUAACACACAGGUCAUGGCUUCCAUCACAGUAGUUGUAUUACAGUCAUGACAAUGAGACCUGUAACAUUU